GACGAACGCUGGCGGCGUGCUUAACACAUGCAAGUCGAACGGAAAGGCCCUGCUUUUGUGGGGUGCUCGAGUGGCGAACGGGUGAGUAACACGUGAGUAACCUGCCCUUGACUUUGGGAUAACUUCAGGAAACUGGGGCUAAUACCGGAUAGGAGCUCCUGCUGCAUGGUGGGGGUUGGAAAGUUUCGGCGGUUGGGGAUGGACUCGCGGCUUAUCAGCUUGUUGGUGGGGUAGUGGCUUACCAAGGCUUUGACGGGUAGCCGGCCUGAGAGGGUGACCGGCAACAUGGGGACUGAGAUACGGCCCAGCUUCUAAGGGGAGGAAGAAGUGGGGAAUAUUGAACAAGGGCCGGAAGCCUGAGGCAGCAAGGCCGCGUGCGGGAGGACGGCUUUCGGGUGGUAAACGGCUUUGGCCUGUGACGAAGCGUGAGGGACGGUAAUGGGAAAAGAAGCACCGGCUAACUACGU
rnacentral:rRNA from 1 species